AACGAACGCUGGCGGCAUGCCUAACACAUGCAAGUCGAGCGUGAAAGUCCUUCGGGAUGAGUAAAGCGGCGGACGGGUGAGUAACGCGUAGGAAUCUACCUAAUAGUGGGGGAUAACGUUUCGAAAGGAACGCUAAUACCGCAUACGUUCUGAGGAAGAAAGCAGGGGCUCGCAAGACCUUGCGCUAUUAGAUGAGCCUGCGUCCGAUUAGCUAGUUGGUGGGGUAAAGGCCUACCAAGGCGACGAUCGGUAACUGGUCUGAGAGGAUGAUCAGUCACACUGGAACUGAGACACGGUCCAGACUCCUACGGGAGGCAGCAGUGGGAAUAUUGGACAAUGGGGGCAACCCUGAUCCAGCCAUGCCGCGUGUGUGAAGAAGGCC
rnacentral:rRNA from 1 species